rnacentral:rRNA from 1 species
UACAGAGGGGGCUAGCGUUAUUCGGAAUUAUUGGGCGUAAAGGGCGCGUAGGCGGCCAUGCGUGUCUUCCGUGAAAUCCCUCGGCUUAACUGAGGACGUGCGGAAGAAACUGCAAGGCUCGAGUCCGGGAGAGGGGGGUGGAAUUCCCAGUGUAGCGGUGAAAUGCGUAGAUAUUGGGAGGAAGACCGGUGGCGAAGGCGGCCCCCUGGACCGAAACUGACGCUGAGGCGCGAAAGCGUGGGUAGCAAACGGG